rnacentral:tRNA from 1 species
UUUAAAGGAUAAAAGACAAU